rnacentral:rRNA from 1 species
ANAGUUUGAUGAUGGCUCAGAACGAGCGCUGGCGGCGUGCCUAACACAUGCAAGUCGAACGAGAAAGUCCCCUUCGGGGGGCGAGUAAAGUGGCGCAAGGGUGAGUAACACGUGAAUAAUCUACCAUCAAACCUGGGAUAACUCGGCGAAAGUUGGGCUAAUACCGGAUAAGACCACACUUUUAAUGAGGCGUGGGAAAAGGAGUCUCAAACUCCGUUUGUUGAUGAGUUCGCGGACCAUUAGCUAGUUGGUGAGAUAAAAGCUCACCAAGGCGACGAUGGUUAGCCGGCCUGAGAGGGUGAUCGGCCACACUGGAACUGAGACACGGCCCAGACUCCUACGGGAGGCAGCAGUGGGGAAUAUUGCGCAAUGGGCGAAAGCCUGACGCAGCAACGCCGCGUGAGGGAUGAAGGUUCUCGGAUCGUAAACCUCUGUCGAAUGGGAAGAAAUCUUGACGGUACCAUUAAAGGAAGCCCCGGCUAACUUCGUGCCAGCAGCCGCGGUAAUACGAAGGGGGCAAGCGUUGUUCGGAAUUAUUGGGCGUAAAGCGUAUGUAGGCGGCUGGACAAGUCAGACGUGUAAGCCCACGGCUCAACCGUGGAAUUGCGUUUGAAACUGUUCAGCUUGAGUGCAGGAGAGGAAAGCGGAAUUCCCAGUGUAGCGGUGAAAUGCAUUGAUAUUGGGAAGAACAUCGGUGGCGAAGGCGGCUUUCUGGCCUGAAACUGACGCUGAGAUACGAAAGCCAGGGGAGCAAACGGGAUUAGAUACCCCGGUAGUCCUGGCUGUAAACGAUGGGUACUAGGUGUAGGGGGUAUCG